rnacentral:rRNA from 1 species
AUGAAGAUGACCACGGCCCUGGCUACUUGGAGAGCCGCGGUGAAGAGAAGGAUUCUAAGUGGUGAUAGUUAUGAGAAGAUCAAGGAGACAAAUCCUUCGAUCGGCGAAGCUGACUACCUGGAGUUCAAGAUCAAGUGCGAGAGCAACGCAUCCGCGGAAUCAAGUCAGUGGUGGAAAGAUAUGCGGGACUUGAACUUAGGACACCACACACUCGGUCCCGGCGGUUACAGAGUGGCGGAACCUAUAUGGGACAAGGAGGACGCGGAGCGUAACGAGCAAGGCCUACAGCCCCUCUUCGAUAAAUACCAUGACAAGCAGACCAGGAACUAUGUCAGGGCCAGGUACAAGGUGGACCCGGAAACAAAGGAGCUUACCACGGAUCCGAAGACCAAGGCGCUUGAGCUUGUUCUGGUAAGGAAUACACCCCCGCGUAAUUAG